rnacentral:rRNA from 1 species
UACCUUUUGCAUCAUGAUUUAGCAAGUACCCCUGAGCAAAGAGUACUUCAGUUCAGCGCCCCGAAACUAGACGAGCUACUUCAAGACAGCCUUUAUUAUAUAUACGUAGGGCACACCCGUCUCUGUUGCAAAAGAGUGGGAAGAUCUUCAAGUAGGGGUGACAAGCCUACCGAGCCUAGUUUUAGCUGGUUGUCUGAGAAGUGUAUAUAAGUUCAGCCUCCUGAUUUUACCAGUCGAAAGCACCUAUGCCCCCAAAGACCAAGUGAAUUUCAGGAGAGUUAGUCAAGCGGGGUACAGCCCGCCUGAAAAAGGAUACAACCUCUAUGGAAGAUUAAAGAUCAUACCAAAUAAGGAACUUUACUUUAGUGGGCUUAAAAGCAGCCACCUACAAAGAAAGCGUUACAGCUCCUGUUUAAUUUCACCCGCUAAUACCGAACCCCGCCUCUUUAGUCCCCCACACUAUCAGACCCUCCCACCCACCCUGGGAGAGAUAAUGCUAAAAUGAGUAAUAAGAGGGCGCGCCCCUCUCCAACACACAUGUUUAUGUCGGAACGGACCCACCACCGACAAUUAACGACCUCUACAGAGAGCAAUGUACCACCGCACAAAUAGCAAGAAAAUCGAACACCUCAUGCUCGUUAACCCAACACAGGUGUGUGACCCUGGAAAGACUAAAAUAAAGGGAAGGAACUCGGCAAACACAAGCCUCGCCUGUUUACCAAAAACAUCGCCUCUUGCAAUAUUACGAAUAAGAGGUCCCGCCUGCCCAGUGACGCUGUUUAACGGCCGCGGUAUUUUGACCGUGCAAAGGUAGCGCAAUAAAUUGUCUCUUAAUUGGAGACUAGUAUGAAUGGCACCACGAGGGCUUAACUGUCUCCCCUCUAAAGUCAAUGAAAUUGAUCUCCCCGUGCAGAAGCGGGGAUACGCUCGUAAGACGAGAAGACCCUUUGGAGCUUUAGACACAAGGGCAGCCCAGGUCAAACACCCCCAAAAGGAACUGAACCCCAUGAACCACUGCCAAUCUGUCUUCGGUUGGGGCGACCACGGAGAAAAACAAAACCUCCACAUGGAGUGGGGCCACUCGGCCCUAAAGAACAGACCCACAGGUCUAACCCGCAGAACAUCUGACCACAAAGAACCGGCACAAGCCGCUCAAUGGACCAAGUUACCCUAGGGAUAACAGCGCAAUCCCCUCAAAGAGACCUUAUCGACGAGAGGGUUUACGACCUCGAUGUUGGAUCAGGACAUCCUAAUGGUGCAGCCGCUAUUAAGGGUUCG